rnacentral:tRNA from 1 species
UGUCCAGUGCAGCCUAGUGGACAUGGCAUCUGCCCGGUAAGCGGAACACUGUGGGUUCGAUUCCCAUCCCUGGACAC